rnacentral:rRNA from 1 species
UACGAAGGGAGCUAGCGUUGUUCGGAAUCACUGGGCGUAAAGCGCACGUAGGCGGAUGUGUCAGUCAGGGGUGAAAUCCCGGAGCUCAACUUCGGAACUGCCUUUGAUACAGCACGUCUUGAGUCCGAUAGAGGUGGGUGGAAUUCCUAGUGUAGAGGUGAAAUUCGUAGAUAUCGGGAGGAACACCAGUGGCGAAGGCGGCGACCUGGGCAGAUACUGACACUGAGGUGCGAAAGCGUGGGGAGCAAACAGG